rnacentral:rRNA from 1 species
GCAGGCCUAACACAUGCAAGUCGAGCGGAUGAGGGAAGCUUGCUUCCCGAUUUAGCGGCGGACGGGUGAGUAAUGCCUAGGAAUCUGCCUAUUAGUGGGGGAUAACGUUCCGAAAGGAACGCUAAUACCGCAUACGUCCUACGGGAGAAAGUGGGGGAUCUUCGGACCUCACGCUAAUAGAUGAGCCUAGGUCGGAUUAGCUAGUUGGUGGGGUAACGGCUCACCAAGGCGACGAUCCGUAGCUGGUCUGAGAGGAUGAUCAGCCACACUGGAACUGAGACACGGUCCAGACUCCUACGGGAGGCAGCAGUGGGGAAUAUUGGACAAUGGGCGAAAGCCUGAUCCAGCCAUGCCGCGUGUGUGAAGAAGGUCUUCGGAUUGUAAAGCACUUUAAGUUGGGAGGAAGGG